rnacentral:lncRNA from 1 species
UUUUUUUUUUUUGAGGGGUAUCACGCACACUAUUGGGAGUUGAGAGGGGAUGGAGGGAGGGGGUGAGCGGUUGGGCUGGGCUGGCUGGACCCUCCACCACGAGCCAAGAUUUGGAGCCGGAGAUUCGCUGCGAUUGCCAACUUGCUUUGCCCCGCACGCAUCGCUAGCCAGCCGGGAGGCCAUCCUCUGGGGGCGCUUUCUACAGUGUUCCGGCGGAGUGUCCAUUUUCAGGCUUCCGAGGGCGUCGACCGUCGAGGUUCGCUAGCAAUCAUACGACCUCCGGUCCCUGCAUGUGUCCUCGUUCGCCAUGUCGUUGCGUGUCUGCUUGGGUUCUUCCUGCGAUCAGUUGCACGCUUUCGUGGAUAUUUUGCUGAGGAAAGUAGUGGAAGUCUGGUCAGUGUUUUGGUAAUGGAACAUGUGCGCCUAGUGCUUGGGUUAAUUUAGCACCCCCAAAAUGUAGAAAGGUACCAAAUUUGCACCAACCAAACUGUGAAAUUCCAUAUCCAAAUUUGAUGCAAGAACAAGAUAAAAUCCUGUUAUUGGUAGUUAUAUUUCCCUCUAUCUGUAAAAACACAGCAUUUUAGACAAUGACCACCGUCUUUAACAUGCAAGUUUAAUAGUAGAAGCUUAAUUACAAGAACUAUAUCAUGGAUAAAAUUCAUGAAAAUCUCCUGCACCAUUCCCCACUAGACACCCUAAGUUCUUACACAUCGAGAUAGAGAAUUUCAAUGCACACUUUCUUAAAUGACAUCCAUUUCCGAAUAGAGGUGAUAGCGUGUAUGGAGUUGAGGUGAUGUAUUAUAAUACAACUAGAAUUUGUUAAUGUGUACUCCCUCGGUCCCAAAAUAAGUGUCUCAACAUAUUAUGUGUUUUGCUUCUUUUGGGAUGGAGGGAGUACAUCAUAUUAUAUGUUUUGCUUCUUUUGGAUGUGUGGGCCAAAUCUGUAUUUUAUGUGUUGUUGCAUGUUAUGAAUUAGAAUGUGAAAUAGGAAAAGGUACAGACACAAAUUCAAGUAUAUGUUGAGGAAUGGAGAAUACCAACUUGUUUGGUGGGAUCAUUUUAGUCUAUGAACUUGCAAAACGAUAUGAACUAGUCCCUAAACUUUCCAUGCAGAUUCAAUUCGACAAAAACAGUCUGAAUCGCACACAAGCCAUGCCAUAAAGGGCACACUCCCGUGGCUGUUUUUGUGUUGAAGCCGGAUGAAAUUAGUCAAAUGGGUCCUUAUUAAUAUGUGCUUGCCCGUGUAGAUAUUUUGUUUACGACCCAGGGGUUUAGGCAAUUCUCACUCCUAGUCCCCAAACCACAUGUCCCCCUCAAACUGUUCGUAACGACUGUGUAGAGUUGUCGUUUGCGAGCUGGCUGGCUGCUAAGCACACCAAAUGGAGCCACGACAUUGAGGAACAUGAGAUGAGCCGCCCGAUUACGAUAAGCUACAACUUGAUCUUGCUACCUAUUGGCCAAAAGGGUUUUGGGUGUAGAAAGUUGCUCGGUUUUUUUUUUUGCAUGAUUGGGCCUAAAACUAGACAAAUUUGGUGGUUGUAUGUUGGCAGUGACAUGGGACCUGUUUACAGAUGUACAUGACACUUCUCUCAUGCAGGUUAUCUACGGAUGUACAAGUACGCUCCGUUUGUGGUCGUCUCUACAACGUGUGGAGAAUCAAAACAUGUUUACGCAGGUGUGUACACGCUUGGAGAACACAGCAAUGGAUACUUUUGCCCGACAUGCAUGGCAACAUGGUCUUAGGAUUAGGCAUCAUACAGUCUUAUGAUUACUUGUAUUUCACUUUCUUUUCUUUCUGGGUUUGAACUUGGUUUAGUUGUGUGGAUCUUAGUUUUGCAGUGGCUGGGUGUAAUACUUAAACCUUUUAAGUAAUAAUGCGCUACUUAUCAAAAAAAGUAGUCGUACGAGAAAAGUGAUAGGAAUGAUAGAUUAGGGGUCGUGAUGAUUGUUGCCUUAGGUCCAUGGAUGGUUUGAGGGGGUAGUAGUGAUGGUUUGACUAGAAGAUAAGAGCCAUAAGUUAAUGUGUGUCUUCUAAGUUUGCUAAUGCGUUUGAUCAGAUGAUACCCACUCCUCCAUAGUUGGCGUGGUUCCUCUUCUCCAUCGGCGGUAGUGGUCAGGAACGGAGUCAGGAAAUGGUGAUAGGGGUGGGGGGCUUGAACUAGAAGUAUCGAUCACAAUUACACUCAUAUAUCAUCGUAACUAUCGGAAGGUCUAGUGGUCUAGAUUCCCAAAACAUGUUCGAUGUUCUACAAUAUGAAUAAAAUUUCAUCUCUAUUAAUCUGAAUUUGGCUCUACACCCACCAUGAUUAACGGUCUCAAUAAUUUAUUCUGAAGUAAAUUGGCUACUAGUUCCAGUUGGCUUGAAAAUGUUCUCAACUAAACUCUUCAUCUUCAUGUCUACAUAAGUAAAAUUGGAAUAUUUUUUAAAUAUUUUAUAAUUGUAGUUUAUAGUUUUGUAGUUUUUAAGACACACAACUAAACAAAAUUAAAUACAAAAAAUGAUGGUAGGAAUCAAGACUAAUUGUUAUCAUGUGUACACCCACUACGACUAAUAUGUUUGAGGAAACCGUCUCCCCUAUCGGCCUACCAUAAGCCGUCUGCACGAAAGCUAGGCGUGUGCGUCGUAACUCGGUGUCCACAAGCACCGAGUGGACGAGCUGAAGGCCAACGGCGGAAGACCGAACAUGAUGACCAAUCACAUAGCUGGUUGGUUUCUCUAUUUUACACUAUGUGUAUGGGAGAGGAUUUGUGGCACGCAUGGGAUAGGGGCACACAUAUCUAGGGCCACUCGAUUGUCUUAUGAUUCGCAAAUUGGAUUGGUCUUCCGCAUGUGUUUAAGGCGUAAGGGGUCCACAAAUACAUCGUUUGGAAGAGAGUGCAUGGCUCACUCGUCCCACCUCCCAUGCUUGUUUUACUUGUAAAUUUGAAUCUAUUAUAUGUUUCGCACAAAAUUCCAAUUUAUAUUUUGUUUGCAUAUUUGUGUUCAUUGUGACGAAGGUAUUGAAAUAAGGCCCAUUUUGAAUAUGUUUUGACACGGUUUUGUAAAUUUUAUUAGGUUUGCAUUGCUGAAACUUAGUUGAAAUGAACGAUAAAAUCAAUAAGUUUUGGAACUCAAACUUUAAACCAAGUGGGGCUCCAACGUUUUGAAAAGUUUUAAAAGCUUUAGUAAGUUUCUAAAAAGCAAAUGAAAUUUGGUACAACUUUGUAAAACCUUACGACUAUCAAGUUUUAUAUUCUAAACUUGGUAAAAAAAAUUAAAAAUAAAGGUGUUGGAAUUUAUUUAAAUUGUGUAUUAUUUGAAUGUACUCGUUAUAACAAUCAUGAAUAUGCGAAUGAAACUUGAUUUGGACUUCGGAAGAUACAACAGAUUCAAGUUUUAAGAUAAAGAUGAAAAGCUAUGGGAAGUGGGAGAGUGACAAAUAACGAGUGCACUUUAAGCAAAUGGGUCGCCGUAUGUGUGCCACUGCGAGUUAUAGCUAUGUGGAUUAAUAGUUAAUGGGCUUUUGGAAUAUUCCACCACCCUACUUGGAAGGGAGUGGCAAUAGCCUGUCUUUUUGAAGAAAAAAAUCAGAACAAAAAAACCAGUAAAAGGAAAGAACUAGAAAGCAAAAAAAAAUCAACAAGAAUGAGAAAAAAUAUAAUCAGAACCAAUGAACUGAGUCGAUCCAUUUUCCCUCAUUGUGGGCGUAGCCUUGCUUAGUUGACUCACAUAUCAUGUAUUUAAAAAUGUUAAAUGUGUGUAGAGAAAUAUUCAAGAUGUAAAAAUAUGUACAGCACUAAUGAAAAAAUUAGACAUGUGCUGACACAAGAGAAAAAUAAUUUUAAAAUGCAAUAAAGAAUAAGAAACAAAAAACCGAAGGGAAGAAAGAAAAAAAGGAAAAUCUGAAGAAAGCCAAAAAAGACAAAGAAAGCCGAUGCAAACUAGUGAACAGACUGGUAAGAAAAAACAAAAAGCUUGUCCGUAGCUACAGUAUUGGGCCGACCCAAAGACUGUUGCAAUGUAGGCGAGUUGUAAUAGGAAUUAGUACGGGCGGCGUAUAGGGGAGCUCAGAGAGCAACUAAUCGGCGGGGCCCUCGUCAGCUCCCAGUGUGCCACCACGUGUGUCGCGCUGUGUGCAUCCCGCGGGAGCAUGUUUUUUGUUUUCUGCAUGUGUUCUUUUUUUUGUCUUUUACCUUGCUUUGCUAGAAUUUGGUGAGAAAUUUGUUGUUUUUUUUCGAAGAACAGUUUUUUUUUUUGCAAGAAAAACUUUCAAUCUAUUCCUCUUCAACCAUGGUACAACAAACACUAGAAAUAAUAAAAAUUACAUCCAGAUCCGUAGACCACAUAGCGACGACUACAAGCACUGAAGCGAGCCGAAGGCGCGCCGCUGUCAUCGCCUCUCCCUUGCCGGAGCCGGGCAAACGUUGUUGUAGUAGACAGUCGGGAAGUCGUCGUGCUAAGGCCCCGUAGAACCAACGCAUCAGAACAGCAACCGUCGUAGAUGAAGAGUGUAGAUCAAAAGGAUCCAACUUGAAGACACACGAACGAAGACGAACGACGAACAGAUCCGAGCAAAUCCACCAAAGACAGAUCCGCCGGAGACACACCUCCACACGCCCACCGAUGAUGCUAGACGCAUCACCGGAACGGGGCUAGGCGGGGAGACCUUUAUUCCAUCUUCAGGGAGCCGCCGCCGUCUCGCCUUUCUGAGUAGGACAUAAACCCUAACAAAGCUAAAAAAAAGAUCUAAAAGCGGAGCCCUCCCACCGGCAAGGGCCGAGAUCCACUCCGUCUCCAUGGCCCUAAGGCCACCAGAGACGGGACGGACCGGUGCCAGCGGGAGGCAGAGAACCCUAGAUCUUGGGCCGCUGCGUUUGCUGAGACGCGCCCUCCUCCUCCGCCCGGGGUUGAAGGUAACGCACUCGUCACCCAAACAAUGAAGGAAAGCUUUUUUCGAAGAACAGUUGUGCUUCUAAAAAAACAUAGUUUGUGCUUUCAUGAGUGUGCUUUUCAAAAAGGGGAAAACAUAAUUGUGCAUUCCAAAUAAGGGAAAAGCACAAUCUAUCUUCUACAGAAAGCACAUCUAGUGCUUCCCCGAAAAAAAAGAAAAACACAGCAUGUGCUUUCAAAAAGAAGUGAAAACCGGAAUCAUCCUUUCAGGUUAUGAUUUCUUUCUUGUGGUUUUUAUUCGUUUUUCUGGUUUUUUUAUUCCAAUUUCUCUUAAAAAAGAUAGUUCAAACAUAUAAAUUAUUUUGAACAAAAAAUCUAUGAAAAAAGAGAAAACUCCUAUAUUGCGACAAAGUGGUGCACAUGCUGCAUGCCACUUGUCAGGAGCAGAGAAGGUGGGUAAUGGCCUUUGCAAGGACGAACCCUUAAGUAGUGAUUUUGCUAUUAUACGCGUCACGCGGUAGAAAGCGAGCAAUUGCGCACCCCUCUACUCGUCAGAGCUCUUUGGGUCGGCCCAUGUGCGGAUCGGGGCGGCCGUUUUUUCAUCUUAUUGUUUUUAUUUAUUUAUCCUCUUUUAAUAUAAAAAAUGUUCAUGAAUCCCGAAUUCAGAAAAAAAGUUUGGUAUUUCAAUAGAAGUAAUGAAAUUCGAAAAAUGUUUACAAAUUCCAAAUUCAACUAAUUAGUCAGGAUUUCAGAAAAACUUAUGAAAAUAAAAAUGUUUGCAAAUCACAAAUUAAAAAAAAUGUUUGGGAUUUCAAAAAAUGAAAUUAAUUUUUUCCAUGAUUUUUAAAAAUGUUCUCGAAAUUCAAAAUUUCUGAAAAACUGUCUAGGAUUUCAAAAAAUAUUCCUAAAUUUCACCAAUUUGAAGAAAUGAUCCUGUUUUUUGUAACAUGCUCAUGAAUUUGAAAAUAUGAUCUUGGAUUUAUGAAAAAUGUUCACGAACUUGAGAAAUAUUCAUGGUUUCAAAAUAUAUUCCUUGAGGUAAAAAAUGUUCACAGACUUGCAAAACGUUCUCAAAGUUUAGAAAACAUUAAUGAACUUUAAAGCUGUUCCCAUAUUUCAAAAAAAUCACGAAUUUAAAAUUUUAUUUCCAUAUUUCCGAAAAUUUUAAUGAAAAUGUAAAGAGCAAAAAAAAUAAAGGAAAGAAGAAGAGAAAACCGAAAAAAAUAAUGAAAAGAGUAAAAAAAAGGGUUUUGGAGAAAUAGAGAAGAUACGAAAUGGGCCAGCCCAGUACUGCAGGCGUGAAAGCUCGUUUAGUCGCUAUCCCCCGACCUGCGCGGGGAAUAGGAUCCGACGACAUCUAGCUCUACGGACGGACGGUGAGUCCGAUUUGCGGCACGGCAUUGGAGAUGCCCUCAGUCAUUUCUCCCUUUUUCAUCGUAUAUAGAACAUCUUCGCAGAGAAUCCUCUGGGAAAAAUCUUAUUUGACAAAAAACAGGUUGAGUGGGCGUUAGUCGGCAGAUACCCAGAAAUAUUUCCUCUAAAUUAUAAUCACCCGUUGUUUAUAAAUUGCUCGCUGAAUGCUGAUUCCACUCUAAUGUUUUAAUUUUGAUGAGCCGCGCGCCCUGAAAGCGUCGAGAAAUCAUCAACCACCGUGGCACGCACGUCGUGUGCAGGUGCAUUGACAUUCUAGCUCGAGCUACUAUCCGCGCGGGAGCCGGACACCACGAGUAGGCUACGCUGCUGCACCACGGACGCCGUCUGCCGGUGGCUAGAGCUUGGAACUGAAUCUACAGUCAUGCACCGGCCAGCAGAGAGAAGACAUGUUACUGAUGUAGGAGUGCAUGAAAACAUGGACAAGAUCCACACAAAUGGAGAUGCCAUAUCGACAUCAUCAACGUACAAAACAGCCACCGCAACUAAUCACAACUCUCACUAAUGGCACACAGUACAAAUCAGGUCCCGAUUAUUUCGCCACCACCAGCAGCACGAACUCAUCUAGUAGUACAUCUCCGCGUCCGGCGCGGCGCACGCGGAUCACGGGGCCGGCACGAACGGCCCCGCAGCUUAUUGCUACCAACCACACACGAUGACGAAGAGGCCGGCGUACAGCUUACUCGAUCUUACUCCUCGGCGGCGGUGCCAUCGGCGGGGCAGCGGUCGACGACGGCCUCGAGCUUGUAGGGCGCGGCGUCGGUGGCGAGCCACUGC